rnacentral:sRNA from 1 species
GCCAGGUGUGGUGUUGUACACCUGUAAUCCCAGCGGCUGGGGAGGCUGAGGCAGGAGGAUCGCUAGUUCAAAGCCAGCCUCAGCAAAUUGUGCUAAGCAACUCAGUGAGACCCUGUUUCUA